rnacentral:lncRNA from 1 species
AAACUCUCAAGAUUAAUCAUUCAAGCCUCCAAAAUAACAUUUAAGUUCUGCAAUUCAACUAAAAUGUGAACUUAUUUACAAUCCAAAGCCAAACGUAUGAUACAACAUCAAAUGUCCAAAAUAUAUCCUAUCAACCAAAAGCAUAAGUAUAAGAGGGUUAUACACUCUAACUCACACUUAAUUGUUUCGGAUCUCCAUUCCUGUAAGGAAAAUAAAAAUUAAAGGAAUGAGCUAAAAGCUCAGUGAGGUUCCCAAACAAGCAAUCAGGUAGAGAAACCAUGAAAAUAUGGUAUUUAACAGUUUGAACACUUUGCAUAAUAAUAUCCAGUCAUUCAAGACACAAACAUUCAAUCAUUGGAAGGAUACGUGCUCACUUGGAGUUAUUUAUUCAGUCAUUCAGUCACCAACCAUUUCUCUUAUUCCUCCGUCAUUUGAAAACAUUUAACAGUGAAAACUCCUUCAGUUUUCAUUGUCAGUCAUUCAUUGAUUUCAUUGUAUUGAAUUCACUGGUCAGUUCUCCACCAGAUUUCGUGAUAAUACUCAAGUAUACCAAACAUUGUCCCAGGGCCACUAGCCGCUCGACCAAGUCCGCUUCUGGCACGAGUCGACUGGCAACGAAGGGCAAUGGCUCAGUUCAGCCAAAAGGCUUAUAUUCCUGCACAAGUAGCAUAGGAUCAUUUAAUCAUUGAAAAUUGCACGUUCACUUAGGUUGAGUGCGACAAAGUACACAUUCGCCUAUCGAAAAUUCAUUUAACAAUCAUUGAAAAACAUUUAACAUUCAAGCAAACAUUCACAACAAUCCACAUAGUCAUUAGAAGCACAACAUGCAAAGAACACUCACCAAUUUAAGCAAAAUAAUGUCAAAAGUUUCCUUCCGGAUUAUGCUCUUGAUCACCAACAAAUCCUAAGAAUAGCCAAUAGAAAAUAUUAUGGCUCAAUCAUCCAAAAUUUAGGUGAACCAAAGAAAAUCCGAGUAACUACUAGUACAAAGGUGCAAACAUGGUUUUGGAGUAAAAAGAGAAUAUUUAGACCCAAGGGACAUAAGUAACCAAGAAUUUCCUCAUUCCAAUCAUAAGCCAAGCUCAAAAUGGUUUAACAACUCCAACUUAAAAUUGGAAAUAGAAGUAAGAACAAUUUUAGGAAAACAGAAUUUAUUCAGUUUUGCGCGAUGCUACUUGAAAAAUCAUAUCUCAAGUUUCGUAAGUCCAAAAUUUAUGAACUUUAUACAGUUGGAAAAUAGAUUCAAAGAGUUACAAUUUCUUAGAAGACACCUUUACAAGAUUCUAUCCAUAAUGCAGUCAAAAUCCAAUCUCAAAUGGCUGCUUUAUCCAGUAGAAAGACAGAACAGGAAUGGAAAUUCAGUCAAAUUUAGAAAAUCACAGAUAUUCAUAGGAAUUGAGGAAAAUUAUGAUAUUUUCAUGGUAGAAAGUACUCUGAAUCUAAUUUCAAACGCAACAAACAAAACUCAAUUCGAAUUUUUCUACACCAAGAUAUGACAGAUUUUCCAAAACUGGUCAGAGUCUUCUGCGGGAAAAAUUUCAGCAGUACUUUUUUUGUAUUUACUAAUUUUUCCAGCCAUUUCAAGGCUACACUUUCACCACAAGACAGCCCCAAUCAAGUUCACAAGAUAUAGGAUACAUAGAGUACGUAUUUUAGUCACAAAACUAGCUAUAACCAAUAUAUACCUAAGUUGGAAAUUAAUCAAACCCUAGCAACAAUUUCACCAAACCCUAGCAAAACCAUGAAAUUACGAUAAACAUGCUUCCUUCAACUUCAAUCAUAACAUAUCUUGUAUAAAUCUCAAGAAAAAAGUAAAAAGAGAUGUUUUUUAGAGAUUUUACCUCAGAACCCCAACAUAACAAGCAAUUCAAGAGCUUUCUUCCCUAAGUAACUCCACCAAAAGCUUCCCUCCAAGCCUAACUUAAGAUUAAUCGGUGUAGAUUUGAGUUGGUGUUUGGAUUUUUCACAAAUCAAGCAAGGAAAAAAAGAUGGAAUUUGGAAGUUUUUCUCUCUAAUUUCCUCUCUCAAUUUCGUUCACCAU